GCAUGAACGAAAGUUGCAACCUCUGUAAACCAAAAGAGAGAAACCUCAUCACAAACGAACAAAAAGAAAAGCAGUCAGGGAAGUAUAUACAUCAACUAGCAUUAAAAACCAUAUAUACUCAACUCAAAGCUGAAACUCGGAAUAAAAGACACACAAACCCGUCAAAAGCAUCAUACUUGUAAACUAGCUCAAGGGUAAAAAAGUAGCAUGAUACGAUUCGUCAAUGAGAAAUCAAUGAUAAAAAAA